rnacentral:rRNA from 1 species
CCAUAACUCGGGGAUAGCCUUUCGAAAGAAAGAUUAAUAUCCGAUAGCAUAUAUUUCCCGCAUGGGUUUUAUAUUAAAGAAAUUCGGUAUGAGAUGGGGAUGCGUUCCAUUAGUUUGUUGGGGGGGUAACGGCCCACCAAGACUACGAUGGAUAGGGGUUCUGAGAGGAAGGUCCCCCACAUUGGAACUGAGACACGGUCCAA